UGGGGAAUCUUGCGCAAUGGGGGAAACCCUGACGCAGCGACGCCGCGUGCGGGAUGAAGGCCUUCGGGUUGUAAACCGCUUUCAGCAGGGACGAAAUUGACGGUACCUGCAGAAGAAGGCCCGGCCAACUACGUGCCAGCAGCCGCGGUAAUACGUAGGGGCCUAGCGUUGUCCGGAAUCAUUGGGCGUAAAGAGCUCGUAGGCGGUUCGGCAAGUCACGUGUGAAAUCUCCACGCUUAACGUGGAGGCGCCACGUGAAACUGCCGUGACUCGAGUCCGGUAGGGGAGUGUGGAAUUCCCGGUGUAGCGGUGAAAUGCGCAGAUAUCGGGAGGAACACCAGUAGCGAAGGCGGCACUCUGGGCCGGUACUGACGCUGAGGAGCGAAAGCGUGGGGAGCGAACAGGAUUAGAUACCCCUGUAGUCC
rnacentral:rRNA from 1 species